rfam:Dipodomys ordii contig_84758, whole genome shotgun sequence.
GGGAAGGUGGCUCAGUGGUAGAGUGCUUGCCUUGCAUGCAUGAGGCCCUGGGU